UUCCAUUCACCAACAACCAUGUCCUCUUCUCUCUACUCUCUAUAAUAAACACAAACAAUCUCCUCCAUUGACUUCAUUUUCCAAUCGCCACUCCUUCAUAUACAUAUCCACCUUCUAUUUUUCUUAUUCACUUCAUCAUCCUCAUGCAAUAAACCAUGAAAACCAACAACCUAACAUAACAUCACCUCCUUCAUAUUUUCAGAAAAUGAAAACAUCCCAUAAACACCUAUUAUCCAUUUGUUAUCUCCAUAGCCCACUCUCAAUCAUUU
rnacentral:lncRNA from 1 species